ensembl:snoRNA snoRNA:Me28S-A774b
CUCUUGUUGAUGAAAUUAAUUGGUCCGUGUUUAUGAAUUUCCAUUGAUUAUAAAUUCUCCAAUUACUGACCAA